GAAGUUCGGAAAGGGGUUGUUGCUGGCCGUCAGCGGCAUGUGCACGCCCUGAUCAUUAUCCAUCUCACACACCUGUGCACACACUGUAGGUCGGUUUGUGGCUGGAGUGGGCACUCUGUGUCUGCUUUGGUUGUAGGCCUUCCUAUGUUUUAUCACAAACUACUUCAGUUUAAAGAAUGUCACUCUUGCGUCUAACGCAAUUAAAUACAACUUUCAGCAACGGAUCUCUUGGCUCUCGCAUCGAUGAAGAACGCACCGAAAUGCGAUAAGUAAUGUGAAUUGCAGAAUUCAGUGAAUCAUCAAAUCUUUGAACGCACCUUGCGCUCCUUGGUAUUCCGAGGAGCAUGCCUGUUUGAGUGUCAUGGAAUUCUCAACUCUUUUUGCUUUUGUGAAUAGAGCUUGGACUUGGAGGUUUAUUGCCGGUACACCUGUGAUCGGCUCCUCUUGAAUGCAUUAGCUCGAACCUGUGUGGAUCAACUAUCGGUGUGAUAAUUGUCUACGCCGUUGCUGUGAAGCAUGUUAAUGGGAUCGGCUUCUAAUCGUCCUUUUACUUGGGGACAAUGACUUUGACCUUUGACCUCCAUCAAGUAGGAUUACCCGCUGAACUU
rnacentral:rRNA from 1 species